rnacentral:rRNA from 1 species
GACGGGGGAUGCAAGCGUUAUCCGGAAUGACUGGGCGUAAAGCGUCUGUAGGUGGCUUUGUAAGUCUGCCGUAAAAUCCCAGGGCUCAACCGUGGGCAGGCGGUGGAGACUACUAAGCUGGAGUACGGGAGGGGCAGAGGGAAUUUCCGGUGGAGCGGUGAAAUGCGUAGAUAUCGGAAAGAACACCAAGGGCGAAGGCAUGUUGCUGGGCCGAUACUGACGCUGAGAGACGAGAGCUUGGGGAGCAAAUGGG